rnacentral:lncRNA from 1 species
UUUCUUUGAGAGAGAGAGAGUUUUGAAAUUGUGUAGGUAAAAAAAAAAAGGGACCGAGAAUUGAGUAAAGAGAGAGAGGUUUGGGCCUUUUGUUUUUUUUUUAAGUUGGGCUAUGUUUUGGGCCUCUAAUUUCUUUUGGGCCGAAUUUUGAGCGUGGGCUUUGUUUAAAUUGUUUUGGGCCUUUAUUUUUAUUUUCAAUUGGGCCGAAUAAUUGAGAAGAAAUGGACCUUGCUUUAUUUGGGCUUCCUAUUUUAAUUAUUUGAGCCCAACAACAUAAUUUUAUUGAGCCCAGAAUUAUUUAUCUCAGUUGGACUGCUAUUUUUUUUAUUUGAGCC